rnacentral:rRNA from 1 species
GUGGGGAAUCUUAGACAAUGGGGGAAACCCUGAUCUAGCCAUGCCGCGUGAGCGAUGAAGGCCUUAGGGUUGUAAAGCUCUUUCAGCUGGGAAGAUAAUGACUGUACCAGCAGAAGAAGCCCCGGCUAACUCCGUGCCAGCAGCCGCGGUAAUACGGAGGGGGCUAGCGUUGUUCGGAAUUACUGGGCGUAAAGCGCACGUAGGCGGACCGGAAAGUCAGAGGUGGAAUCCCAGGGCUCAACCUUGGAACUGCCUUUGAAACUCCUGGUCUUGAGGUCGAGAGAGGUGAGUGGAAUUCCGAGUGUAGAGGUGAAAUUCGUAGAUAUUCGGAGGAACACCAGUGGCGAAGGCGGCUCACUGGCUCGAUACUGACGCUGAGGUGCGAAAGCGUGGGGAGCAAACAGGAUUAGAAACCCUAGUAGUCC